rnacentral:lncRNA from 1 species
UAACAAAAUCUUCCCACUUCACCAAUAUUAAAGCAGUUGAUAAACUGGACCACUCAAGGAGUAACACUCCUUCUCCUUUGAAUCUUUCUUCCACGUCUUCUAAAAACUCCCACAGUAGCUCGUACACUCCAAAUAGCUUCUCUUCCGAGGAGCUGCAGGCUGAGCCGUUGGACCUGUCAUUACCAAAACAAAUGAGAGAGCCCAAAAGUAUUAUAGCCACAAAGAACAAGACGAAAGCUACUAGCAUAAGUUUAGACCACAACAGUGUUUCUUCAUCCUCUGAAAACUCAGAUGAACCUCUGAAUUUGACUUUUAUCAAGAAAGAGUUUUCAAAUUCUAAUAACCUGGACAAUAAAAGCACUAACCCUGUGUUCGGCAUGAACCCAUUUAGUGCCAAGCCUUUAUACACAGCUCUUCCACCACAGAGCGCAUUUCCCCCUGCCACUUUCAUGCCACCAGUCCAGACCAGCAUCCCCGGGCUACGACCAUACCCAGGGCUGGAUCAGAUGAGCUUCCUACCACAUAUGGCCUAUACCUACCCAACGGGAGCAGCUACCUUUGCUGAUAUGCAGCAAAGGAGGAAAUACCAGCGGAAACAAGGAUUUCAGGUAACGAGAUGUGUCGCUUUGCUCUGAAGAAAGGCUAUUGAAAAGUGUAGUCAGGGUUGGGGGUUUAGCUCAGUGGUAGAGCGCUUGUCUAGCAAGCACAAAGCCCUGGGUUCGGUCCCCAGCUCCAAAAAAAAAGAAAAGGAAAAAAAAA